rnacentral:lncRNA from 1 species
GUUCCUCACACGUGCUAGGCAAGUGAUCUACCACUGAGCCACAAUUCCAGUUCCAGGAAGAUUGUUUUUCACCUUUAACUUAAGAAUGUUGGAUAUUUGGACUUUUAAUUAAAGACAAGGGAAUUUAGUCUUGAUUUUUUUUUUCUUCAAUACUAGGGAUUAAACCCAGGGGUGCUUUACCAUUGAACCCCAUCUCCAGUCUGCCCCACCCCCUCUUUUAAUCUUUUUGUAACAGGGUCUCAUUAAGUUGUUGAGGCUGGCCUCAAACUUUGAGAUUCUGUCUCAGUCUCCCCAGUUGCUGGGAUCAGAGUUGUGUGGCGCUAUGCCCGACUUGAAUUUUGAUUUGCAAAAGGAAUUUUUAAAUUUCUCCUUGUAAAUUUGAUAAUGAGAGGAAAUUAGAUUUUGAUAUGGGCAUGUGUAUGUUGGUAUUUUAUUAAUGGGUCUUGAUGCUCUGUUAUGGCGGGUUAGACUGUGUGGCAGGCAUACUUUAUGGUGGGCAGUGAAGUGAGUUUUGUCUUGGAAUUUUAUAGCCUUAAAGUUGUUUUAAUUCAUCUAUUAUUCUGACCCCAUCCAGAAUCUUGGGAACAAAAUCAAAGCUUCCAAUGAUUCCAAAAAGACAAUCAAAGGAAUAGUAGUUGGUAUUUGGGGUAACUUCUUGAUAGACUGUACUGGUUCUGGAGAUGUAAUGUUUUAAGUCCAGGGGGUAAAAAGAACAAAAAGAUGGGAAAGGUAAAAGAGGAAUGCUUUCCUCCUUCUGGUGUUUUUUUUCAACAUGAAGAAAGAUCAAUGUAACACACCUGACCUUUGUUGUUCCUUUAUUCCUCAUACUCAAGGAGAUAUGCAGUGACUUAUUUGAUUGAAUGUAGGGAGAGGGAAACUUAAAUACAUUUACU